CCCCUACGGGGCGCAGCAGUGGGGAAUAUUGCGCAAUGGGGGAAACCCUGACGCAGCAACGCCGCGUGCAGGAAGAAGGUCUUCGGAUUGUAAACUGUUGUCGCAGGGGAAGAAGACAGUGACGGUACCCUGUGAGAAAGUCACGGCUAACUACGUGCCAGCAGCCGCGGUAAUACGUAGGUGACAAGCGUUGUCCGGAUUUACUGGGUGUAAAGGGUGCGUAGGCGGAUUUUUAAGUCAGCGGUCAAAGCCCGGGGCUCAACCCCGGCCCGCCGUUGAAACUGGCAGUCUCGAGUUGGAGAGAA
rnacentral:rRNA from 1 species